rnacentral:misc_RNA from 1 species
UGACAUAAAAUCUGCAAUGAAGUCGGAAAAACGUCGCCAAAAGGAACAUGACGAGAAUGUUAAGAAAAUCGUGAAUAGACUCAAACAGAGAGACCCAAAAAAAGACGGUCUUGUAUGCACUGCAAGGAAGCCAUACAUUGCUGUUGGCAUGCGCAAUGUUGAUUACAAGCGCGCACGUCAUUUCGAGGUCGAUCUGUCAGCAUUCCGAAACAUCCUUGAGAUCAACAAAGAAAGAAUG